UGGGGAAUUUUGGACAAUGGGCGCAAGCCUGAUCCAGCCAUGCCGCGUGCGGGAAGAAGGCCUUCGGGUUGUAAACCGCUUUUGUCAGGGAAGAAAUCUUCUGAGUUAAUACCUCGGGAGGAUGACGGUACCUGAAGAAUAAGCACCGGCUAACUACGUGCCAGCAGCCGCGGUAAUACGUAGGGUGCAAGCGUUAAUCGGAAUUACUGGGCGUAAAGCGUGCGCAGGCGGUUUUGUAAGACAGAGGUGAAAUCCCCGGGCUAACCUGGGAACUGCCUUUGUGACUGCAAGGCCUGAGUGCGGCAGAGGGGGAUGGAAUUCCGCNUGUAGCAGUGAAAUUGCGUAGAUAUGCGGAGGAACACCGAUGG
rnacentral:rRNA from 1 species